rnacentral:rRNA from 1 species
CCUACGGGAGGCCGCAGUGGGGAAUAUUGGACAAUGGGCGCAAGCCUGAUCCAGCCAUGCCGCGUGAGUGAUGAAGGCCUUCGGGUUGUAAAGCUCUUUUGGCGGGGACGAUAGUGACGGUACCCGCAGAAUAAGCCCCGGCUAACUUCGUGCCAGCAGCCGCGGUAAUACGAAGGGGGCUAGCGUUGUUCGGAAUCACUGGGCGUAAAGCGCACGUAGGCGGAUUUAUAAGUCAGGGGUGAAAUCCCGGGGCUCAACCUCGGAACUGCCUUUGAUACUGUAAGUCUCGAGUUCGAUAGAGGUGAGUGGAAUUCCUAGUGUAGAGGUGAAAUUCGUAGAUAUUAGGAAGAACACCGGUGGCGAAGGCGGCUCACUGGAUCGAUACUGACGCUGAGGUGCGAAAGCGUGGGGAGCAAAACAGGAUUAGAUACCCUGGUAGUCCACGCCGUAAACUAUGGAUGCUAGCCGUCAGGUAGNUGCUACUUGUGGCGCAGACUAACGACAUAAGUACACUCCCGCCGUCGGGUAGGUACGGCCGGCCGAAAGGUUAAAACGUAACGAAAGGAAAGUUAAGUAACGGUACGUGUUAGACGUGCCGAACGGACGACGACGAGGGAGGAGGAG